ACAGUGGACGCGAGCAUCUGUGGCCAAGUUUUUAAGGGCGCACGGUGGAUGCCUUGGCACCAGGAACCGAUGAAGGACGUGGGAGGCCACGAUAGUCCCCGGGGAGUCGUCAACCAGGCUUUGAUCCGGGGGUUUCCGAAUGGGGAAACCCGGCAGUCGUCAUGGGCUGUCACCCGCUGCUGAACUCAUAGGCAGUGUGGAGGGAACGCGGGGAAGUGAAACAUCUCAGUACCCGCAGGAAGAGAAAACAACCGUGAUUCCGGGAGUAGUGGCGAGCGAAACUGGAUGAGGCCAAACCGUAUGUGUGUGAUACCCGGCAGGGGUUGCGCAUGCGGGGUUGUGGGAUCUCUCUUCCACGGUCUGCCGGCCGUGGGACGAGUCAGAAACCGUUGAUGUAGGCGAAGGACAUGCGAAAGGUCCGGCGUAGAGGGUAAGACCCCCGUAGUCGAAACGUCAGCGGCUCGUUUGAGAGACACCCAAGUAGCACGGGGCCCGAGAAAUCCCGUGUGAAUCUGGCGGGACCACCCGCUAAGCCUAAAUAUUCCCUGGUGACCGAUAGCGGAUAGUACCGUGAGGGAAUGGUGAAAAGUACCGCGGGAGCGGAGUGAAAUAGUACCUGAAACCGUGUGCCUACAAGCCGUGGGAGCGUCGCGCAUCGAGCUUGCUCGGUGCGUCGUGACUGCGUGCCUUUUGAAGAAUGAGCCUGCGAGUUAGCGGUGUGUAGCGAGGUUAACCCGUGUGGGGAAGCCGUAGCGAAAGCGAGUCCGAAGAGGGCGUUCGAGUUGCACGCUCUAGACCCGAAGCGGAGUGAUCUAGCCAUGGGCAGGUUGAAGCGGCUGUAAGAGGUCGUGGAGGACCGAACCCACCAGGGUUGAAAACCUGGGGGAUGACCUGUGGUUAGGGGUGAAAGGCCAAUCAAACUCCGUGAUAGCUGGUUCUCCCCGAAAUGCAUUUAGGUGCAGCGUCGUGUGUUUCUUGCCGGAGGUAGAGCACUGGAUAGGCGAUGGGCCCUACCGGGUUACUGACCUUAGCCAAACUCCGAAUGCCGGUAAGUGAGAGCGCGGCAGUGAGACUGUGGGGGAUAAGCUCCAUGGUCGAGAGGGAAACAGCCCAGAGCAUCGACUAAGGCCCCUAAGCGUACGCUAAGUGGGAAAGGAUGUGGAGUCGCAGAGACAACCAGGAGGUUGGCUUAGAAGCAGCCACCCUUGAAAGAGUGCGUAAUAGCUCACUGGUCUAGUGAUUCCGCGCCGACAAUGUAGCGGGGCUCAAGCGUACCGCCGAAGUCGUGUCAUUGCAGCAAUACUCCCAACGGAGGCUGUGAUGGGUAGGGGAGCGUCGUGUGCCGGGUGAAGCAGCCGUGGAAGCGAGUUGUGGACGGUUCACGAGUGAGAAUGCAGGCAUGAGUAGCGAUUCACACGUGAGAAACGUGUGCGCCGAUUGACUAAGGGUUCCUGGGUCAAGCUGAUCUGCCCAGGGUAAGUCGGGACCUAAGGCGAGGCCGACAGGCGUAGUCGAUGGAUAACCGGUUGAUAUUCCGGUACCCGCUGUGAAGCGUCAAACAUUGAAUCCAGUGAUGCUAAGCCCGUGAAGCCGUUCCGGACCCUUCGGGGAAUGGAAAGUGGUGGAGCCGGUGGCCCGAGCUGGUAGUAGGUGAGUGAUGGGGUGACGCAGGAAGGUAGUCCAUCCCGGGCGGUGGUUGUCCCGGGGUAAGGGUGUAGGCCGUGCGAUAGGUAAAUCCGUCGUACAUGUGGCUGAGACCUGAUGCCGAGCCGAUUGUGGUGAAGUGGAUGAUCCUAUGCUGUCGAGAAAAGCCUCUAGCGAGUUUCAUGGC
rnacentral:rRNA from 1 species